AUAUCUAUGGUGUAACGGAAAGCACAAAAGGUUUCUACCCUUUAAGUCCAAGUUCGACUCUUGGUAGAUAUA
rnacentral:tRNA from 1 species